CCUACGGGGGGCAGCAGUAGGGAAUUUUCGUCAAUGGGCGCAAGCCUGAACGAGCAAUGCCGCGUGAACGAGGAAGGUCUUCGGAUCGUAAAGUUCUGUUGAAGGGGAAAAAGAGCGGAGAGAGGAAAUGCUUUCUGAUGGAUAUUACCCUUCGAGGAAGUCACGGCUAACUACGUGCCAGCAGCAGCGGUAAUACGUAGGAGGCGAGCGUUAUCCGGAAUGAUUGGGCGUAAAGGGUGCGUAGGCGGCCUGCUAAGUCUGGAGUGAAAGGGACGGGCUCAACCGGUACAGGCCCUGGAAACUGGGUGGCUAGAGAGCAGGAGAGGGCGGUGGAACUCGAUGUGUAGCGGUAAAAUGCGUAGAUAUAUCGAAGAACACCGGUGGCGAAGGCGGUCGCCUGGCCUGUUACUGACGCUGAGGCACGAAAGCGUGGGGAGCAAAUAGGAUUAGAUACCCGAGUAGUC
rnacentral:rRNA from 1 species